rnacentral:rRNA from 1 species
UACGGGGGGAGCAAGCGUUGUUCGGAUUUACUGGGCGUAAAGGGCGCGUGGGCGGCCACCGCAAGUCAGUUGUGAAAUCUCUGGGCUUAACCCAGAACGGUCAGCUGAUACUGCGGGGCUAGAGUGCAGAAGGGGCAACUGGAAUUCUCGGUGUAGCGGUGAAAUGCGUAGAUAUCGAGAGGAACACCUGCGGCGAAGGCGGGUUGCUGGGCUGACACUGACGCUGACAGCGCGAAAGCUAGGGGAGCGAACGGG